GUAACAAUGAGUCAGGAAUAACUGAUAUGUUUCAUAGCAGCAGCAACAUUUAGUAGAGAAAUACAAUUGUCAGACUCAACUCACAAUGAGCACUACUGAAGAUAGCGUAGAGAGGGGUAGAGAGCUAGAGUUAGACAGAGAGAGAUGAAGUAUUAUACAGUUACUUUAUAUUGUAUGGGUGUCUCUUUAUUGUACCUGGUUAUGUGU